rnacentral:rRNA from 1 species
GACAGGGGAUGCAAGCGUUAUCCGGAAUGAUUGGGCGUAAAGCGUCUGUAGGUUGCUUUUUAAGUCCAUCGUCAAAUCCCAGGGCUUAACCCUGGACAGGCGAUGGAUACUACUGGGCUAGAGCACGGUAGGGGCAGGGGGAAUUUCCGGUGGAGCGGUGAAAUGCGUAGAUAUCGGAAAGAACACCAAUGGCGAAGGCACUCUGCUGGGCCGAAACUGGCACUGAGAGACGAAAGCUAGGGGAGCGAAUGGG